rnacentral:rRNA from 1 species
AAUCUUGCACAAUGGGGGAAACCCUGAUGCAGCGAUGCCGCGUGAGUGAAGAAGGCCUUUGGGUUGUAAAACUCUUUCGUCGGGGAAGAAAAUGACUGUACCCGAAUAAGAAGGUCCGGCUAACUUCGUGCCAGCAGCCGCGGUAAUACGAAGGGACCUAGCGUAAUUCGGAAUUACUGGGCGUAAAGCGCGCGUAGGCGGUUAAGUAAGUUAAUUGUGAAAGCCCAAAGCUCAACUUUGGAAUUGCAAUUAAAACUACUUAGCUAGAGUUUAUCAGAGGAAAGCGGAAUACAUAGUGUAGAGGUGAAAUUCGUAGAUAUUAUGUAGAACACCAGUUGCGAAGGCGGCUUUCUGGGAUAAUACUGACGCUGAGGUGCGAAAGUAUGGGUAGCGAAGAGGAUUAGAUACCCUCGUAGUCCAUACCGUAAACGAUGAUUGUUAGAUGUUGGAAAUUUAUUUUCAGUAUCACAGCUAACGCGUUAAACAAUCCGCCUGGGGAGUACGACCGCAAGGUUAAAACUCAAAUGAAUUGACGGGGACCCGCACAAGCGGUGGAGCAUGUGGUUUAAUUCGAAGCUACGCGCAGAACCUUACCAACACUUGACAUGUCUGUCGCGGAAUCCAGAGAUGGAUUCUUUCGGUUCGGCCGGACAGAACACAGGUGCUGCAUGGCUGUCGUCAGCUCGUGUCGUGAGAUGUUGGGUUAAGUCCCGCAACGAGCGCAACCCCUACUUCUAGUUGCCAUCAGGUUAAGCUGGGCACUCUAGUAGGACUGCCUGUGAUAAGCAGGAGGAAGGUUGGGAUGACGUCAAGUCCUCAUGGCCCUUACGUGUUGGGCUACACACGUGCUACAAUGGCAGUGACAAUGAGAUGCUAAACGGCGACGUUAAGCUAAACUCAAAAACCUGCCUCAGUUCGGAUUGCACUCUGCAACUCGAGUGCAUGAAGCUGGA